UACAGAGGGGGCGAGCGUUGUUCGGAAUUACUGGGCGUAAAGGGCGCGUAGGCGGCCCGCUAAGUCGAACGUGAAAUCCCCAGGCUCAACCUGGGAACUGCGUCCGAUACUGGCAGGCUUGAAUCCGGGAGAGGGAUGUGGAAUUCCAGGUGUAGCGGUGAAAUGCGUAGAUAUCUGGAGGAACACCGGUGGCGAAGGCGGCAUCCUGGACCGGUAUUGACGCUGAGGCGCGAAAGCGUGGGGAGCAAACAGG
rnacentral:rRNA from 1 species